UUCCCAACUUCGGUUAUAAGAUCCCUCAAAGAUGAUGAGGUUAAUAGGUUCGAGGUGGAAGCAUGGUGACAUGUGGAGCUGACGAAUACUAAUCGAUCGAAGACUUAAUCAA
rnacentral:rRNA from 1 species